rnacentral:lncRNA from 1 species
AUGUGUGGAAAAGAAGCUACAGGAUUGUCAACAACAACAACAAAAAAAGUCAAGGAAAUUGGAUUACUCUUUUUCUCAACUACUAAGGUUAUAAUGGCACACAAAAUGAGCAUUCCACUGCAGUUUCGAUACAGUGGAAAGCAACCAACAGAAAGAGGUCUGCCUGCAGGUCAGUGUAGGACUGCCCAUCUAAGCAGAGAAGAAAUGAGGUCACACCUUUCUGCUGCUUCACCACAAUCUGCCUGGGGUCAGGCCAGCUACACGGAGGGCCCUCCACAUCCAGACCACCCCCUUCUUUGGGGGACAGUUUUACAACAGGAGAAAUAGACUAUGUGAGGAGAAAUGAAACGACCGCAGCGUUAGAUUUACCACAGCGUUUAAGUGUAGAAUGAAAUUUACAAGUUUCCCUUAUACAGUGCCAUGUCAUCGAUACUGUAGACUGUACAGGGGGGUGGCUGAAAUACUAAUUAACAGACCAUAUGUGAUUAUUGUACCUCGUUUAAGUCGUAAAAGUCUAUAUCUUAUGUGGAUCAGGUCCCUCGAGUGAAUUAGUUGUGUCUCAGGUGUUAUAGAACAUGAUCAUCAAAGGUACAGAAUGAACAUAUAUAUACAGCUCUGGAAAAAAAUAAUAGACCACUUCAGUUUCUGAAUCAGUUUCUCUGAUUUUGCUAUUUAUAACUAUAUGUUUGAGUAAAAUUAAUAUUGUUAUUUUUUUUCUAUAAACGACAGACAACAUUUC